rnacentral:piRNA from 1 species
UGGGACCCCAAAGAAGAGAGGCCCUGC